rnacentral:misc_RNA from 1 species
UGAUACUCAAGCCUCAAAGCCGUAAAAUUAUUUCCUCAAAUUUCAUUUACUUCAACCCAACAUUGCCCAUAGAUAAACAAUAAUGGGUUUGAUGUUAAAAUCAAAACCAGACUGCCUGCUCCAUUUGGGUUUUCGUUCACCAGAACUUGCAUCAAACUUCUACAAAUAUUCAAACAAAUAUAUCCAGUUAAAUGUGUUCCUUCUGUUCUUCUGGAAACCUGACAGUAAACUUUAACUUCUAACAAGAUCCCCUAACUAAUAUCCCAUAUGUUUAUGGACAUAAUAGAACAAAUAGAAUUGAAGCAAUCCUCAUAGUUUCACUAAAAUAAUAAAUUAAUGUACACAAACUGCUAAUUUGUACAGACAAGCUUGACGCUGAUUUCAGAAGUUCUGUAACUCAGUCCUCAUCUACUGAAAAGUCUGGUUCUGCUGGCUUCUGCAGUGAGCUCACAACGCUUUUAUCUGAUCCAGAAUACUUAAUGACACCCCUUCUAGUGCUUGCUGCUAGCCUUGCAGCACGCAUAGCUAAGCCUGUGCCUGCUGAAGUAGGUUCAGGAUUAGCUGCUGUGGGGUUUUCUCUAGCUCUGAGUUCAGCUGCUUCCUUUCGUUUCUUAUACCGGCGCCAUGCUGCUUGUAUGAAACAUGCAGCCCAUGCUCUCCACUGAUGAGAGUAGAACCUGAAUUUCUGUCUCAGUUGCUUGCUGUGUAGUCUUCUAAAUUGUGAUGCUACGAACUUCAAGUCUUCUGCUCUCAGUGCAAAUGCCUCAACUUCUGAAAUGGCCUUGACAGUGCGAGUAGAUGAUGGAAGGAUGAUACAUGGCCUUGGUUCUAAAGCCCAUGUCAGCAAUUCCUCACCACAAAAAUCACCAGGACCAAUACGGCAAGAAUUGAAAAAUCCAGUACGACCACCAUUGGUGGUGUAAGAAUCAAGAUUACCACGGAUUAUGAAAAGCAUCUCAUUGACAAGGUCACCUUCACGGACAAGAAAUGUGCCUUCAGUAGACAACGCAGGUUUCAGCCUCUCACAUAUAGCAUCCAGCAUCCUUUCAUCCAUUUGAUCAAAUAAUGGAACUCGUCGAACUAAAUCAAGACAAAGGUGGCGUUUGAUGUCUCUUCGGAGAUCCAUAGGAAGACCUUUGAGAAGAGCUUCUUCAUCAACUCCUCUGGUGGCCACCCACUCGUACUGAUCAUAUUUCCGAACGGACUGUUUUAGCUCUGGUGGCAGCUGCCUGUGAUGCAUCCAUUGUUCUGUAUCAGUUCUCUUUAUUCUCCACUCUUCUAAACGAACAGUUGUUGAUUGCAAGUAUCUCUGCCAGUGGAAUGUUUAAAUAGAACCAGUAAAUCCACUGAUGAAAAAAUAUUAAGAUCAUCACUGUUCAAAGAUUUGUUAGAAUCCAAGAAUUAAUGAUGCACAAUAUACCAAGACAAUUUCUGUAACUUUGAAUGGCCCCUCUCAAUGUCUUGCUUCUAGAAAGAAAGUUAAGAAUCAAAGAUCAAGUUCAAAUUAUCGUAGUUUCUUUUAUAGUCCUAAUAGAUAAACUAGCUAGAAGAUCACGAUUCCAAUCAAAUAAAAAAGCAAACAUAAACUUGAAGAUGUAAUCUGCAGGCUUACUUGCAUGUUCCCGAUGAGCAACGCGAACAGAACGAGACCAAGUAUUGCAACUAUGAUGGCAAAACUUAUUUCACCUACGUAAGUACUUGUCGAAAGAUUUUGUCCCAAUGAACUCAGGUUCUUUAAGCCCCACCAAAGACAGUAGAAAUAUUUGUCGAAGAAUGUUGAAAUAGUAACGCCAUAUGUCAAAGCAUCACCAAAUAUACCGAAUUGAUAGUAAUCAAUAUCUGGAUUACAAAGAUUUGUCACAUUGCUUGUUUUGAACCAGGAUUCCCUAAAAGGGUCAUGCAUCUGGCGGCAAUCAAAAUAUUCAUAUUGGCAAGAAGGCUUCUCUAGAUUACAAACACUUCUCCAGCAUGCUUCUUGCCGCUCAAUUGAUAGAAGAUACCAGCAAGCUCCUAAAACAUGGCUUGCCAGCAUGUAUAGCAUUAGGUUAUAAGCAGCUCCUGCCCAUGCUGUUUCAGUCACAACACCAUUGGCCUUAAUAAUUCUUGAUGAAAGUGGAAAGAUAAGAAAAAGCCUUGGGAGGUACUGAAAAAUGAUGAUGAACCUAAGGACAUUUUUAGUAUUUGCCACUGUUGAGCCACCAAGAUGGGGGAUAACAAACCAAAUCAACACCUGGGGGAGAGGCAGGACAGCAACAAGAUCAAUCAAGAACUGCUGUUUUAGGUACCUUAUUGCAAUUUUUUUAGAAUCUAUGACAAGCUCCCCUCUCCCAAAAACACGGGAAGAAGGCGCAACAUAAGCAGUUCGAAAACGAAUGAAAAUCUGAAUCACAUAAAAGAUAUCAGCUAUAGUUCUAAUAAUUGUAAGGGCAAUUUCAAGGGGUAUUCCGAUAUGUAUGCAAGCUUCUUUUGAGACUAUUGGCAAGUGAAAGAAUAGAGGGUCUACAAAGAGUGAAACUAAGCAAGCUACUAAAAAAAUCUUAGUCCAUCUGUGAACUGUUGGUCCUCGAGGGUCCAAUAUCUUCUUCUUCACUCUCUCAUAGUCCUCAGAGAAAACUCUAGACAAUACUUUAGCUUUCAAUGAUCUUCCAGUCUUCCCAGGCACCUCCUUUUCAGAUUUCUUAGAACUAGACUCUGAUAUUUGUGUUCCAUCAAUGUUGUAUGCAAGCUUAACUACACCAUCUCCAUUGACUGUUGGGAGCUUGGCCAAUUCAAGAUCAUCUUUAAACCUUACACUUCUUGAAUUACCAUACCCCAUUGCGUUCUUGUGGUAAGUACAGCUAUGAUUUCAAUCACUGAAUUCUAUCUGGAAGGAGCACUAUACAGAGACAGGGGAGCCAUACAAAGUACAUUUCAUCAAACCCAAUUCCCUCCACUUUGUUUAUCUGUUGAUUCAUUCAGAUAAAGUAACUAAAACCCAAAAAACUUUUCAAAGAAACUGAAAAUGAAAAUUUUGCCAUCUGGGGAUUGAUGAACAAUGAACAGUUUCCAUUCUUCAACAUUACAAGACUCUUUUCUUGUUAUUCUCGUCUAAAAAAUGGUGGACAUGCUUGAAGACAUUAUUUCACAGUAUAGCAAGUGAAAGAGUAUAAGAACAGUAGGGAAG